CAAGUUUUAACUAUGGAGAUGAUUAAAGUAGUUAGCUUGAGAUACAAUAUGAACAAGAUAAAUAAUGGUGAUACGAGCAAAAGGGGGAAUCAAGCUUAAAGAAUCCAAUUUUAUCUUUUUAAGAGUCCUUUUAGGACUAAGAAUUGCAACAUGGAUGUUGAAGUCAUUGACAUUCUAGAAUUCAAGAGGAUUUUCUACUUCAAGAAGUCAAUUAAUUAAAGAGAGUUGGAAUCAUAAAAGAGGAAGGAA
rnacentral:lncRNA from 1 species